AACAACAACAACAAAAAGGAGCCAGGAGAAGACCAAGUUAGAGACACAUUUUACAAGGAUUCAGCAUGAUUAACAUAAGGGAGUAAUAACAGCUCCACAAACAUCAGGAAUGAUCAGAUCAUGCAAGAAAAUAUGCUCUCACCCAAUCUUAAUAAUUUUGUAACAGAAUUCUUGGUGCAGCAAGAUAGUAGCAAGAGAAGAACCCCUAGACUGAAAGGAAACAGUUUCGCUGUUGUUCUUUCAUUAACUUGCAAUGUUUAUCUACAUAAUUUAAUUUCACUUUUAUACACCUAACUUUCUCUGUGAGAGAGAGAAAUAAAGUACUUGAUGGCCCCUUUCAGCUUUAGCCCAGUGACUGAAUCAACUAUUAGAAUAUUAGCAUGUAAAGAGGUCAGUUCUACAAAGGGGAAGUGAAAUUGAG
rnacentral:lncRNA from 1 species